GCCUGGACCAUAAGAUCCUUCAUCCACAUAACAGAACAACAGAUGAGACCUGAAGGUAAACCAAAGCAUCUUUAUGCCAGAGGAAAAAGGAGCCAAGUUCCUGCAUCACUGUGCGGCUUUUGGUAUCGUAGUCCACAGUGAAUUUAGUGCUGGUGAAAGGUUCCAGAUUGACAGCCCUGGAGACAGGAGCUGAUUGCUUAUCCACAUAAUAGGUACAGAGCUGAAACCACCUGGAUGCCUGGACAAUCAUCAGCUGGCAACAACGCUCAGACACCAACAACCCAAGAUGACAACGUAGUUACAGGAAAGCUAAUGAUACGUGGUACUAAAGUUACCCAAGUCCCUG